CACAUGUGUAGUUAAACAUGCAUUGGUUAUAUUGAAACCUCCACUUUCAGUGUCCAGAGAAAGAAGACAGAUGCCCAAACCAGGAAGGAAUUUGUUGAAACAAACAAGUGCUUCGCCAUGUCUAUCAUGCUGCGUAAAGCAUCCCCUGCAUCUAAAAACUCAGAAAACGAAUGAGGUCCUAGAAAGUCGUAGAU